rnacentral:tRNA from 1 species
GUCUGGGUAGUGCAAAUGGUUAACAUGCUCAGUUUCUAACUGAAAGUUUGGAGAUUCAAGUUCACCCAGAGACA